rnacentral:lncRNA from 1 species
UGUCAAUGCUUAUCUGUACCCUGGUCCUUCUCAAGUGUGUCUGAAGAGGUGUUCUAGCUGAGGUACAGGAAGACGCUGAGAUGACUGAAGAGGGACCCACUUUAAUGAACUGAUGAUGGGACAAUGAAGAGAACUUUAGUUAGCAAACUGAAAGGACAGGGAAUUGGAGGGAGUGGUGAAUAAACCAUCAGCUAGUAGGAGUAGGCUAGAAUUCUCUUAAUUAUGAUCUGUGAAGUUUGAUAAGUAUCACCCGUUAGCAGCAUUUGCCAAAACACAUCACAACCCCUUGAUGUAGAAGUAUAGCAAAUAAGGAGCUUCCGAAAGAUCAGUGUGUGGAUCUUUUCCCCACAUGUGUGUGCCAGACAUGGAAGAGAAACAACACCUCAGGAGUACCCGGACCCCCAUUUCUGUGUGCUGGAACAAACCAGAAUGAGAGAAACUGUGGGUUCCAAUGGGAUAACUGUGGAUAUUUCCUCAAAGGAAAACCAAGGUAGAGAGGUCUGUAACAUCUGAUACCUCAGAAUACACACCAAACAAACUGCAGAGAUUUUUGAAGGAAAAUCUCAAACAACAACUGGGUGGCUCAGAUUCUGACUGGUGUGACCUUCGUCUUCUAUGGGAUCAUUGGACUUAUGGUUCUCCAUUACAGAAGACAAAAAAUCAGUUUCUACUCAUUUAAGCUGAGAGGAAAUGUGAGAGCUAACACUCUUAGCACAACUGUUUCCAACAUUGGAAUUCUUCUCUCCAACAACUUAAUAAAAAUCAUCUUCCUGGACUGUAACAGAGAUUUAUGUCCUGGUAUCAAAUCAGUUGCAACUGGUCUCAUGGUUAUACUCAUAAUACUAAACUGUUUGCAAUUUUCAAUUAUGCUUUCCCUGUCCAUACUCACCUAUAAUACAGAUGGCGAGAGAAAUGAUCGGGUUUCAGGAAGUCCUCCUCAAGGCUUGCUGUCUCAGCUCUCAUUCUACAAAAAUCUUAAGAAGAAGGGCACAGUUUUACACUAUAACACCUGAGACAGAAGUACAGAUGUGAGGAUAUCUUCUGUAACCUGUAGGCAUGCAGAUGGAAAAUGGAAAAAUAAAACAAUGUAAGGACAAAAGCUUGUUUGUAUCUCUUUUUUUAUUAAAUUGAUUUAUUUAUUUUCAGAAAAACAGUAUUCAUUAUUUUUUUCACCACACCCAGUGCUCCAUGCAAUCCGUGCCCUCUAUAAUACCCACCACCUGGUACCCCAACCUCCCACAACCCCACCACUUCAAACCUCUCAGAUUGUUUUUCAGAGUCCAUAGUCUCUCAUGAUUCACCUCCCCUUCCAAUUUACCCCAACUCCCUUCUCCUCUCUAACACCCCUUGUCCUCCAUGAUAUUUGUUAUGCUUGUUUGUAUUUUCUUUUGUUGACUACUAUUGUAUCAGUCAACAUAGACGGUGAUACUAUAAUGAGAUCUGAU